CGCCCGAUGGUGAAACAGGAUCACGUCUGUCCUACAAACAGAAAUCGGAGGUGCGACUCCUUCUCGGGCGACCA
rnacentral:tRNA from 1 species